GAGUUUGAUCCUGGCUCAGAAUGAACGCUGGCGGCGUGCUUAACACAUGCAAGUCGAACGGUAACAGAGAGAAGCUUGCUUCUCUGCUGACGAGUGGCGCACGGGUGAGUAAUAUAUAGGUAAUGUGCCCCUUGGACCGGGAUAGCCACUGGAAACGGUGAUUAAUACUGGAUACUCCUUCUUAUCAUAAGGUAAGUCGGGAAAUGGAUUCCGCCAAGGGAUCGGCCUAUAUCCUAUCAGCUAGUUGGUGAGGUAAGAGCUCACCAAGGCGAUGACGGGUAGCGGGUUUGAGAGGAUGAUCCGCCACACUGGUACUGAGACACGGACCAGACUCCUACGGGAGGCAGCAGUGAGGAAUAUUGCACAAUGGGGGAAACCCUGAUGCAGCAACGCCGCGUGGAGGAUGACGCAUUUCGGUGUGUAAACUCCUUUUAUAUGUCAAGAAAAUGACGGUAGCAUAUGAAUAAGCACCGGCUAACUCCGUGCCAGCAGCCGCGGUAAUACGGAGGGUGCAAGCGUUAUUCGGAAUCACUGGGCGUAAAGGACGCGUAGGCGGGUUGGUAAGUCAGAUGUGAAAUCCUACAGCUUAACUGUAGAACUGCAUUUGAAACUACUAACCUAGAGUAUGGGAGGGGCAGAUGGAAUUAGUGGUGUAGGGGUAAAAUCCGUAGAUAUCACUAGGAAUACCGAAAGCGAAGGCGAUCUGCUGGAACAUAACUGACGCUAAGGCGUGAAAGCGUGGGGAGCAAACAGGAUUAGAUACCCUGGUAGUCCACGCCCUAAACGAUGAACACUAGUCGUCGGGAUGCUAGUCAUCUCGGUGAUGCACUUAACAGAUUAAGUGUUCCGCCUGGGGAGUACGGUCGCAAGAUUAAAACUCAAAGGAAUAGACGGGGACCCGCACAAGUGGUGGAGCAUGUGGUUUAAUUCGAAGAUACGCGAAGAACCUUACCUAGCCUUGACAUUGAAAGAAUCUUCCAGAGAUGGAGGAGUGCCCUUCGGGGAGCUUGAAACAGGUGCUGCACGGCUGUCGUCAGCUCGUGUCGUGAGA
rnacentral:rRNA from 1 species